rnacentral:rRNA from 1 species
UACGUAGGGCGCAAGCGUUGUCCGGAAUUAUUGGGCGUAAAGAGCUCGUAGGCGGCUUGUCACGUCGAUUGUGAAAGCCCGAGGCUUAACCUCGGGUCUGCAGUCGAUACGGGCUAGCUAGAGUGUGGUAGGGGGAGAUCGGAAUUCCUGGUGUAGCGGUGAAAUGCGCAGAUAUCAGGAGGAACACCGGUGGCGAAGGCAGGUCUCUGGGCCACUACUGACGCUGAGAAGCGAAAGCAUGGGGGAGCGAACAGG